GUUUAAUCAGCUGCCGGGGCUGGGCGCAAGGGGAGGGCGGCGGGGCUUUCCCUCAGGCGGGAGGCAGCGGAGGCCCCAUCCCCCUUCCACCUCCCCGCAGCCAAGAGUUUUUUCCUUGCUAAAACUUUCCGAGGCUUCGUAAAUUAACCCUUCUGGAAGCCGCCAAGGGGCCCUCCCCUCAGCGAGGAGAGGGAACGGAGGCGCCGCCGCCCUCACGCCUUUGCCCUCCUCAGGCGGCCACCGCUCGCCCUUGGCAACCGCCUCUCGGGUCGGCGGCCCGGCCGGCGCCUGCCCCUUUAAAUGGCGGCCGCGGCCCCGCCGUGCGCCCCGCUGAGGCAGUUAGUGGCCGCCGCGCCGCCCUCGCCCCCCUCCAUGGAAGUUCAUGAAGUGGAUCAUGGUCUUAUUAGCCAGCUACUUGCUGAUUCAGAGGAGACUCUUAGUUCGUGCACAGAGAAAAUGCAGGGUCCUGCUCAAUACAGUUGGAGUGCUGACUGGAGCUUUUGGCUCUCAAGUUCCACUUACAAAUAUAGGAGUGAGGAAUUCAAGAGACAGUUUUCUCAUCUGCCAGACUCGGAGAGACUCAUAGUAGAUUAUGCUUGUGCACUCCAGAAGGAUAUCCUGCUGCAAGGACGCUUGUAUCUCUCUGAAAACUGGCUCUGUUUCCACAGCAACAUUUUCCGAUGGGAGACCACGAUUUCUAUUGCCUUGAAGGACAUCACUUUCAUGACAAAGGAGAAAACUGCUCGGCUCAUUCCAAAUGCCAUACAAAUAGCAACAAAAGGAGAGAAGUUUUUCUUCACGUCAUUCAGUGCAAGAGACAGAAGCUACCUCAGUAUAUUCCGCUUAUGGCAGAAUGUGUUGCUGGAUAAGAGGCUGACGAAGCAGGAAUUCUGGCAGCUGGUGCACCAGAGCUAUGGCUCUGAGCUGGGCCUGAACAGCGAGGAGAUGGAGAGCUUCCACUCAUCAUCUGAGGACAACGGGCAGUCUCGAUCCAGCAUUUGUGAUGAUUCUGGAGAAAGGGAUGAAAAACUACCUAAAAUGAUUGGUUUAGUUCGGGAACCCACGCUUCAAACGGAAGGAGAGUCUCUGAAUAGACACGCGUUGCCAGGAGUGGAGGAGUCUCCAAAUGAGAAGCAAAUAAAGAAGAGCCCUCUUCCAUCCUCAGAAAGAAAACCUGUUAAGCUAGUCAGGAGCAGGUCUUUAGAAAAGUCCUUGGACCUGAAUGAGAAUGAAAAUCUUCCAGAGAAGAGCAGUGCGUCAGAUAGUGAAGAAGCGGUGAAGGAGACUGUCUCUGAGAAUGAUCUCUAUGGGAGACUUUUUAUAAACAGAGUUUUCCACAUCACUGCAGACAAGAUGUUUGAAAUCCUUUUCACCAAUUCUCACUUCAUGCAGAGGUUUCUCAAUUCCAGGAGUAUAGUAGAUGCUGUGUCAACCCCUUGGAAUAGAGAUGCCAGUGGCAAUCAGUUGAGGACUUUGACAUACACUGUAACAAUUAACAAUCCACUUUGUGGGAAGUUCACAACUGCAACCGAAAAGCAGAUCCUGCAUAAGCAGAGUCAGAAAGGUCAGUCUUAUCAGGUGGAUGCUGAGGUACUGACCCAUGAUGUCCCCUACCAUGAUUAUUUCUACACUGUGAACAGAUACUACAUCAGCCGCACAUCCAGUCACAAGUGUCGAUUACGGGUUUCUGCGGAAGUGAAGUACAAAAAACAGCCUUGGGGCCUUGUCAAGUCUGUAAUCGAGAAGAAUACCUGGGGAGGAAUACAGGAAAACUUCAAACAACUUGAAUCAGACCUCCUAAUGGAGGAAUAUGCAAUUAAUCAGUCCAUAGAAGACUCUGGAAAAUUAGUUGCCCUGAGACGAAGACGACGCACUUUACACCGGAGUCUAGCAGAAUCGCUUCCCAAACGCUCUUCCCAGCACUCUGCUAGUGAUAUGGGAGUAGAGUCCCAGGGCAGCAUAGUAGGAAGGAAAAGAGAUGCUUUUGCUGCUUUUGGUCUUGCUGAAUAUAACACUGUUUCUCAAACUGUCAAAGAUAGAGCAUGCAGCUCAGUCCCUCUAUCAUGUCCAGCUUCAGGAAGAAAGCUCUUUGAACAUAUCGCCAGAAAUGGUAUCAAAAGAGGAGAUCCCUCAGUAUGAUAAGGAACAGGUUAAACACGUGAAGGGAGUUUUGAGAGACUCAAUUGAAAUGCUUGAGCAGCUAAAGAUUUCCCUUUCCAUGCUCCAAAGCAGCUUUGACCACUUGAACAGGACACAGAGCGGCAAGAACGAGAGUUAAUACCCACAUCAGUUUUUUCUGUUCAAGACGUCGGAAGAAGAGAUGUGCGUGUGUGUGUGUGAGGACUUGCGGGGUGGGGAUUGUAACUGUCACCUUCGGACUCUUUACUAUUUGGCUCAAAAACUGCACGGAAUAAAGGUUUCUGGACAGAAGUAAGUUGGGUUCUGCAUUCCUGUAGCCUGGUGAUGUGUCGCCCCAGGACACAGGGAUGGCAGCGGAGUCUCGCUUGGGGAGAGUGCGGAGCUCUCAAAUCCCGCGGUGAGUGAGCCAGGGCACUUGUGCUGCCGGUUAACGGAUCUGCGCAUUUUGGAGAGAGCUGGGCUUGUCUCGAAUGAAAUCGUAGCUUUUUAUGUCAACUUGAAAAAUGACCAUCAACGGAAGAGUGUUUUGGAGAAAAAGAGCAGGUUAGUGGUUUCACAGCCACAGGAUAUUUACGUGCUUUUUUUAGCCGUGGGGACUUUGUAAAACAAGUCACCAUCGUUAAGGAUGAGUAUUUUUAAGAUUAAUUAACUAAACAGGAAAAUGCUUGCCACCUCCUUGCUACAUCUCUCCUGCAUGCUGCCAGCUUUGGCAGGCUGCCUCCUGCCAUAUGUUUCCAGCUCUCCCAGAGAAAUUUCAGCCCUUGGUAUUUUCCCCUCCCUCAGGGGCUGCUCUUCAGUUCUCGGUGGCUGAUGAUGAAACACCUUUUUCUUCUGGCCCUGGGCUCAUUCUGAGUGGGUCUGGAGAAGGAAGAUGAAAAUAAUAAAAACUAAAAGCAGGGGCAAGGGCCCUGCCCCUGCCGGCUUGGGUAGUGCUGGCCCCUGCGGGGCUGCUCGGUGGUGCCAGCGGCGGCGUUGGGUUCCUCCGGCUGCUGCCCGCGGUGCGUGGUGAGGGUGUGUGAGUUCCCGUGCGGCUGCCUCAGCCCCCGAAAUGCAGGGCGGGUCCUGGGACGGAGCAGGUUCAAACACCCGCCGCGGGGGACACCCCUUACGCUCUGUAGGAAACUUUCCCGACCCCGGGGAGCAGGAAGGCUGAUGGCGGCCUGGUCGCGUGUGUGUCCCCGACGGCGGAGGGGGCGGCGGGGCCGCCCGCCGCGCCCCGGCCGCCACCUGUUGCGCUGUCCCCUUUAAGCCAGGUGCCGCCGCGUCACGGCCAGCCCCGCCCCUC